CUCAGUACGGAUAGGAUGACGAUGCCUAAUUCGGUACAAAAAAUAUCGUAUGCUGUUAGCCUUCCGAUAUUUAACACCAGAUAACUUGCACACGGUCGGAGCUCGCCUCUCCACAUUACUCGGUCUUUAACUAAUUUUUAUGUUAAAGAUUACGGUCAGAUUCUUGAAGCAAUUUCGGAAGAGUCCUUAUUUUUAUUUACCAACGCCAAACCCAGACUCGUUUAACUUGCACAAUUUUUUUUUUUACCAUGUCUUUUGCUUUAGUUAGUAGGCUGUAUCAAUAGCAAACUAUGUCUCUAGCAAUUGUUCGGUAAACUAUACGUACUACGUGCUACCUACCAAGUUUUGUAAACCAUUUGAACGAUGCAGUAAGACUACGGCGAGUUCUCCUAACUUAGUAUAUAAUGCUAUAUGGGUUGUUUGCCUUGU